UCUACGGGAGGCUGCAGUGGGGAAUAUUGGACAAUGGGCGAAAGCCUGAUCCAGCCAUGCCGCGUGUGUGAAGAAGGCCUUCGGGUUGUAAAGCACUUUCAGUGGGGAAGAAAGCCUUGGGGCUAAUACCCUCGAGGAAGGACAUCACCCACAGAAGAAGCACCGGCUAACUCCGUGCCAGCAGCCGCGGUAAUACGGAGGGUGCGAGCGUUAAUCGGAAUUACUGGGCGUAAAGCGCGCGUAGGCGGUCUGAUAAGCCGGUUGUGAAAGCCCCGGGCUCAACCUGGGAACGGCAUCCGGAACUGUCAGGCUAGAGUGCAGGAGAGGAAGGUAGAAUUCCCGGUGUAGCGGUGAAAUGCGUAGAGAUCGGGAGGAAUACCAGUGGCGAAGGCGGCCUUCUGGACUGACACUGACGCUGAGGUGCGAAAGCGUGGGUAGCAAACAGGAUUAGAUACCCCUGUAGUC
rnacentral:rRNA from 1 species